rnacentral:rRNA from 1 species
UACGUAGGGGGCAAGCGUUGUCCGGAAUCAUUGGGCGUAAAGGGCGCGUAGGCGGUCCGAUAAGUCCCGUGUGAAAUCCCUCGGCUCAACUGAGGAAUGGCACGGGAAACUGCCGGGCUUGAGUUCGGGAGAGGGAGGCGGAAUUCCGGGUGUAGCGGUGAAAUGCGUAGAUAUCCGGAGGAACACCGGUGGCGAAGGCGGCUUCCUGGACCGACACUGACGCUGAGGCGCGAAAGCUAGGGGAGCAAACGGG